UCAAGCUAGAGAGGGCACACGGAGGAUGCCUUGGCGCUUUGAGCCGAAGAAGGGCGCAGUAAGCGGCGAAACGCCCCGGGGAGUCGCAAACAGACGUCGAUCCGGGGAUACCCGAAUGGGGGAACCCGCCUGGGGUAAUACCCAGGCAUCCCUGCCUGAACCCAUAGGGCAGGGAAGGGCACCGGGUGAACUGAAACAUCUCAGUAGCCCGAGGAAAAGAAAGAAACCUCGAAGCCCCAAGUAGCGGCGAGCGAACAGGGCCGAGCCCAAACCCAGCCGGUGCACAGCCUGCCGGCGUUGCCGGCUGGGGGUAGCGGGAGCUGCAGGGCUUUGCGGCAGCAGAGCCGGAGCCGAAAGCGGCCGAGCCGAACGCCCUGGAAAGGGCGGCCGAAGAGAGUGAGAGCCUCGUAGGCCGAAAGCCGCCUCAAGCUUAGCAGCCACCCAAGUACCACGGAGCACGUGGAAUUCCGUGGGAAUCCGGGAGGACCACCUCCUAAGGCUAAAUACUCAAAGCGACCGAUAGCGCACCAGUACCGUGAGGGAAAGGUGAAAAGCACCCCGGGAGGGGAGUGAAAAAGAACCUGAAACCGUGUGUCCACAAGCCGUGGAAGUCCGGCACUCAAUCGGCGAGUUUAAGCAGAGGAAGUCCGCAAGGGCGUUUCCCGCAAAGGAAAGGCAGCGGACAGAAGAACUUAGACUUGCGGAUUGAGUGCCGGACGACCGCGUGCCUAUUGAAGAAUGAACCGGCGAGUUGCGUACAGUUGCGAGGUUAAGGCCGAAAAGCCGGAGCCGGAGCGAAAGCGAGUCUGAAAGGGCGCAAGUAGCUGUACGCAGACCCGAAACCGGGUGAUCUACCCAUGGCCAGAGUGAAACGAGAGUAAAACCUCGUGGAGGCUCGAACCCACCAGUGUUGAAAAACUGGGGGAUGAGCUGUGGGUAGGGGUGAAAUGCCAAUCGAACCCGGAGAUAGCUGGUUCUCCCCGAAAUAGCUUUAGGGCUAGCCUCAGGGAUGAGCUGCGGAGGUAGAGCACUGAUUGGGCUAGGGGCCUUACCGGGUUACCGAACCCAUUCAAACUCCGAAUGCCGCAGCUUGGACCCUGGGAGUCAGACUACGGGCGCUAAGGUUCGUGGUCAAGAGGGAAAGAGCCCGGACCGACAGCUAAGGUCCCCAAGCUGGGCUAAGUGGAUAAGGAUGUGGGAUCGCCCAGACAGCCAGGAUGUUGGCUUAGAAGCAGCCAUUCAUUCAAAGAGUGCGUAAUAGCUCACUGGUCGAGUGAUCCUGCGCCGAAAAUACACGGGGCUCAAGCCCAGCACCGAAGCUUCGGAUGAUGGCGGUUGGCUGCAGCCCACCGCCAACAUGGUAGGGGAGCGUUCCUUACGGGUAGAAGCAUACCUGGGAGGGUGUGUGGACCGUAAGGAAGAGCGAAUGCCGGUAUGAGUAGCGAAAAGGCAGGUGAGAAUCCUGCCCGCCGUAAGCCUAAGGAUUCCUGAGGAAGGAUCGUCCGCUCAGGGUCAGGCGGGACCUAAGCCGAGGCCGGAAGGCGUAGGCGAUGGACAGCCGGUUAAAAUUCCGGCCCCACCUGAGGCCGUUUGAGCGACGGGGUGACGCAGGAGGGUAGGUCGAGCGCACGGGUGGAAGAGUGCGUCCAAGCCGGUAGGAAGAGCGGGGAGGCAAAUCCCCCCGUGGGUUCCGAGAGGUGAUGGGGAGCGGCUACGGCUGCGAAGCGACCGAGCCCAAACUGCCGAGAAAAACCCCUAGCGAGGCCGAAGGUGCCCGUACCGCAAACCGACACAGGUAGGCGGGGAGAGAAUCCCGAGGCGCGCGAGAGAACCCUCGUUAAGGAACUCGGCAAAAUGGCCCCGUAACUUCGGGAGAAGGGGCGCCGGCCUGGGAGUAGGGCGAACGCCCGAAGCCCGGGCGGGCCGCAGUGAAAAGGCCCAAGCGACUGUUUACCAAAAACACAGGUCCCUGCCAAGUGGAAACACCACGUAUAGGGGCUGACGCCUGCCCGGUGCUGGAAGGUUAAGGGGAAGGGUGAGAGCCUUGAACCGAAGCCCCAGUAAACGGCGGCCGUAACUAUAACGGUCCUAAGGUAGCGAAAUUCCUUGUCGGGUAAGUUCCGACCCGCACGAAAGGCGUAACGACUUGGGCGCUGUCUCAACGAGGGACUCGGUGAAAUUGCAAUACCUGUGAAGAUGCAGGUUACCCGCGACUGGACAGAAAGACCCCGUGGAGCUUUACUGUAACCUGACAUUGGAUUUUGGUGUGGCCUGUACAGGAUAGGUGGGAGGCAGAGAAGCCGAGCCGCCAGGCCCGGUGGAGCCGACCUUGGGAUACCACCCUGGCGACACUGAAGUUCUAACCUCAAGCCGUGAACCGGCUGAGGGACCGUGUCAGGCGGGCAGUUUGACUGGGGCGGUCGCCUCCCAAAGGGUAACGGAGGCGCCCAAAGGUUCCCUCAGCGCGGUUGGGAAUCGCGCCGAAGAGUGUAAAGGCAGAAGGGAGCUUAACUGCGAGACAGACACGUCGAGCAGGGACGAAAGUCGGGCUUAGUGAUCCGGUGGUUCCGAGUGGAAGGGCCAUCGCUCAACGGAUAAAAGCUACCCCGGGGAUAACAGGCUUAUCUCCCCCAAGAGUUCACAUCGACGGGGAGGUUUGGCACCUCGAUGUCGGCUCAUCGCAUCCUGGGGCUGAAGUAGGUCCCAAGGGUUGGGCUGUUCGCCCAUUAAAGCGGUACGUGAGCUGGGUUCAGAACGUCGUGAGACAGUUCGGUCCCUAUCCAUCGCGGGCGCAGGAAACUUGCGGGGAGCCGUCCCUAGUACGAGAGGACCGGGAUGGACGGACCGCUGGUGUACCAGUUGUCGUGCCAACGGCAACGCUGGGUGGCCAAGUCCGGACGGGAUAAACGCUGAAAGCAUCUAAGUGUGAAGCCCACCCCAAGAUGAGGUUUCCCAUGGCACAGGCCAGUAAGACCCCUUGCAGAUGACGAGGUAGAUAGGCCAGGUGUGUAAGGAGGGUAACCUCCUCAGCUGACUGGUACUAAUAGGUCGAGGGCUUGACCU
rnacentral:rRNA from 1 species